rnacentral:misc_RNA from 1 species
GAUGUAAUCACCUCCCCACUCUUCCCUUUGUUAAGACGAAAAAGUCUGGCUUCAUAAACCUGGAACAAGUCAUUUAGUUCACAGUGAACACAUAAUAGCCCUUCAGAAUCAGCAUAGCAUUUUGGACAGUAUCUAACACGAGCAAUAUCCUCCUUCCUAGGAUUGCCCAUUGUCUGGUCAAUUUCCAAAAGCUUAACAAGUAAAG